rnacentral:rRNA from 1 species
GCUUAAUAGGAUUAGUUAAUUUGAGAUUUAGUAUAUGUUUUAUUAUUAAUUUACCUAUUUUGUUGGGGUGACAAGAAAAUAAAUAAACUUUUCUAAAAUUUUACACUAAUGAGUGAAAGUAGGAUCCAUUUUUAGUGAUUAUAAGAAGAAGU